rnacentral:misc_RNA from 1 species
GUGAAUCAUCAAAUCUUUGAACGCAAAUUGCACUUUCUGGUAUUCCGGAAAGUAUGCCUGUUUGAGGGUCAGUUAAAUAUAAAUCGGUGUUGUUGCUGCUAUUAGUGGUGUUGCAUCGGGAUUGUGUUGUCUUUGCCCUUUGGUAUAAGUGUCUUAAAAUUAUGUACGAUUUCUGAACGUAUUUAUAUUAUUUACUUUAGCUCAUGAUAUCACAUAUUAGUUGCGGUAAU